rnacentral:rRNA from 1 species
GACGAACGCUGGCGGCGUGCUUAACACAUGCAAGUCGAACGGUGACCUCGGAGCUUGCUCCGGGUGAUCAGUGGCGAACGGGUGAGUAACACGUGAGUAACCUGCCCCUUUCUCUGGGAUAACUCCGGGAAACCGGUGCUAAUACUGGAUACGACCCGAGCGGGCAUCCGCAUCGGGUGGAAAGUUUUUCGGUAAGGGAUGGACUCGCGGCCUAUCAGCUUGUUGGUGGGGUAAUGGCCCACCAAGGCGACGACGGGUAGCCGGCCUGAGAGGGCGACCGGCCACACUGGGACUGAGACACUGCCCAGACUCCUACGGGAGGCAGCAGUGGGGAAUAUUGCACAAUGGGCGAAAGCCUGAUGCAGCGACGCCGCGUGAGGGAUGACGGCCUUCGGGUUGUAAACCUCUUUCAGCAGGGAAGAAGCUUUUGUGACGGUACCUGCAGAAGAAGCACCGGCUAACUACGUGCCAGCCGCCGCCGUAACAC